rnacentral:misc_RNA from 1 species
AAUUGCAUAAACGCGUAUGUGUGUGCAUAAUCGAAUUCGGACCGUCGAAUUCGACAUCAUUGGUUCAAAAUGUUAAGCAGAAAUGUAUCACAUUUUAGUCGGUUUCAGAGAUGUUUAGACACCAGACUGCUGCCUCGAUCACCGCACGCGACCGUGGUGGUUGCCAGAGGUAAAGAGAUCAGAUCCAGCGAUCGUCAUCUUCACACGAGUCGUCCCGUCAACGUUGCGUUCAUCAAGAAUCUUUUCUUGGGACAGUUCAACAAGGAAGAUGUCUUCCCAUACCCAGAAAUCUCCUUGGAGAAAUACAACGACCUCACCCAGAUGUGUGAGCCUAUCGAAAAGUUCUUCAAAGAAGAUGUUGAUUCUAAGAAGCAAGACCUUGAAGCUAAGAUUCCAGAUGAGACGCUACAAACCCUGAAGGACCUGGGUCUGUUUGGAAUGCAGGUCCCCCAGACAUAUGGCGGUCUUGAACUGUCCAAUACUGAGUUUGCCAGGAUAGCUGAAAUCACUGCGCUGGACGGUGCCAUAGCAGUCACAUUGGCUGCACAUCAAUCCAUAGGGCUUAAGGGAAUUUUAAUUGUCGGUAAUGACGAGCAGAAGGCGAAAUAUCUACCCAAGCUUGCAACGGGGGAACAUGUUGCAGCAUUUGCACUCACAGAACCUUCAAGUGGGAGUGAUGCAGCCUCUAUACGUACCUCGGCCACGCUCAGUAAGGAUGGUAAACACUACCUCCUCAAUGGAAGCAAGAUCUGGAUAUCCAAUGGUGGUAUAGCAGACAUGAUGACUGUGUUUGCCAGAACAGAAAUCACAGACGACCAGGGUGUCAAGCAGGACAAAAUCACAGCGUUCAUCGUGGAGAGAGCGUUCGGUGGUGUGACAAGCGGGAAGCCGGAGGAUAAACUUGGCAUCAGAGGAUCCAACACAACGGAAGUCUACUUUGAGAACACGCCCGUCCCAAUUGAGAACGUUCUGGGGGAGGUUGGAGGUGGUUUCAAGGUGGCUAUGAACAUUCUGAACAGCGGUCGCUUCAGCAUGGGUAGCUCUGGAGCCGGCAUGCUCAAAGUUGCUGUGGGCAUGGUAACGGAACACGCCAACACACGCAAACAGUUCAACACCAAGUUACGAGACUUCGGUCUGAUCCAGGAGAAGAUAGCCCAGAUGACGAUUACUGCCUACGUGAUGGAGAGUAUGGCGUAUCUGACCGCUGGCAUGCUGGACAGACCGGGACCCCAGGAUUGCUCACUGGAGGCUGCUAUAGUCAAGAUCUUCAGUUCGGAAGGUUCCUGGACCCACGUGAGUGAGGCCCUACAGAUCCUAGGUGGUCUAGGCUACAUGAAGGAUUACCCGUAUGAGAGGUACCUGAGAGACGCUCGCAUACUGCUCAUCUUUGAAGGCACCAAUGAGAUCCUGCGUAUGUAUGUCGCCCUCACAGGCAUGCAGAUGGCAGGCAAGGAACUGUCGGAAACCGUCAAGAGGUUACAGAGUCCUCUCAAGAAUCCAGGCUUUGUCUACAAGGCUUUCAUGGACCGUCUCCUCUACAAGAUGGGCAUGAAGACAGGAGUCAAGCUAGACCAUGACAGCGGUGGUGUCCAUCCAGCUUUUAAUGAUGUUGGUAAGAACUUGGAGAAACAUGUCACCCGAUUUGGCUACACUGUGGAAAGUCUACUUGCUAAGUACAAAAAGGGAAUUGUGAAUGAGCAGCUAGUCCUGAAGCGCAUAUCAGACAUCCUGAUUGACGUGUAUGCUAUGACGGCAGUCCUGUCCCGUGCCUCACGAUCAAAGACCAUCGGUCUGCGGAACUGUGACCAUGAGAUGUUGAUAGCCAAGACGUUCUGUCAACAGGCCGAGGAGAGGAUACAGAAGAACUUCUAUGACAUUGGUCAAGCACCGGAUCAUAACGGUGAUUCUUCCCUGGAGAGGAUUGCCAGUGAGGUGUGUGACAACCGAGGGUACGUAGCUGCCCAUCCACUGACCAGGGAAUUCUAGAUAACACUGUCUAAAACAAUGUUCUUGUCAACUCCAUCACAGUCCAUCACAAGUAGGAAAACAAAUUCCUCUUCACUAAUUUCGAUAAAUAUAUUGAUUUCUACCUCCAUGUUGCUAUGGGUUUCUGGAUGGCCCUCACUACGAAAAGAAAAAUAACCCUUACUUUAAUUUCUAAAUAGAAAAUAUGUUUGUUUUUAACUGAAAUAUACCGAGGCAUUCAUGGAUUGAUUGACAAGUCUAGUCAAAAGUAAAUUUUGUCCAGUCAGAAGUAAUUAGGGUCAGGAUGAAAAACAACAACACAUACUUUUGACACAGUUCUUGUAAGUAGCUUGUGUCGCAACUUGAGGACUUCUGAUGACUUAUGAUGACUUGUGAUACACUUUUGAUGACUUGUGAUGACUUAUGAUGACUUGUGAUGCACUUAUGAUGACUUGUGAAAUUUGAGAGCUUGUAAGGACUACAGCACCGUUUAAUUAAGAAUAAAUACUGGACAGGGGCCAUAGACUAUUAACCACGUGACGCCGGCUGAUGGCUCUAGACGCAGCUCGAUCAAAGCCAAUAAGCAGGGGGGGUGGGGCUGUUAUUGCCGCAUUCCUGCUGCAUAGCUGCAUUAAGUCAUACGCAACGGCCGAAUGCCUGCACGUACACAUUCCACCCAAUGCGCAGCUGUCUCCAUGGCCGAACGAUACCGGCGUCAAGGGUUAAAAGGUCUCCGUUUUAAUGCAAUGCAUGUAUAUUUACUGUGAAUACACCACAAUUUAACACGAAGUUAGGCCUUACAUAAGUCAUUCCCAUGAAUGAAAAGCGUACGAAUUUAUUACCAUACAGUGUAUUCUUUUUUUCAUAUUAAAUUAUUUGAUUUUUUUCUUCCGUGUUCAACUGUGCUUAAUAGCUAAAGGACAUUCAUUAUUGUCAAAAUAGGUUCUGAAGCUAAUGCUACUUUGUACCUUUAAACUUAUCUUUCUCUUGAAUUAUUUGCAUUUUAGGAUUUAAAAGAAUCUAUUAAGGAUAAAGUAGGAAGCACAUAUCAAAGAAAAUCUCUUGUCUCCUUAAUGAAUAGGUCCAAUGGAAUUUCUUUCUUUUUUCUGUGUGGUUGACUCAAUAUUCACAGUUAAAAUUUGAACAAUACUUGAGAUAAUUGUCCGGAGGUUUUUAAAUAGUGACUUAAGAUAUCUUUUGUGUCCAAAUCUGCCUGACGUGGAUGUAUUAGAAGAAAACCCUGAAAGGAAUCCAAAACCUAAAUAUAUAAUUGCCAGUUGCAGCUACUGGCUUCCAAUGAUCUUAAAAAAUGUACAAUUCUAAUUACAAAGCAAUGUCUAAUUACUUGUUUCAUUUUAAAACUUAGUAUACAAUGUAAUAUUUAUUGUGGUUUCCUCAGUAGUGUAGUUUUGCCACCCAGUCAAAUACCCAAUUGGUUUUUGUGCCAUAUCAAUGCAAAUACUUCAGUUUCAUUAUUAAAGAUGAUGCUUCAAGACAGACUUUUAUUUUGUUCAGUGUGUUUCAGGUUUGGUUCAUUAUGAUUACAAAGGUGUGAGAACUUUCCCAAAUGUUCAUUUGGGUUGAAAAUAAGAAAAUCGGCAAAGAUAUUAUGUAAUAAGUGGAGUGAGGAUUUAUUAAACGAGGACAUCUGUGGAACCAUUUCAAACGUCAUUUGAUAACAAUUCACUUUUGUAAUACAGGGUAUUUAAAAGUAAAAAAAGGAAACCCAGAUCUAAAUGUGAAUUAUAAACAUUUUUAUUAAUAUUUUCAAAUAAGUUAAAGAU